GCCCGCCUAGCUCAAUCGGAUAGAGCGUCAGACUUUUAUGGCGGGUUAAUCACCUAGGAAUCUGAAGGCUGCGAGUUCGACCCUCGCGGUGGGCU